CCAUGCAUGUCUAAGUAUAAGCGAUUAUACAGUGAGACUGCGGACGGCUCAUUAUAUCAGUUAUAGUUUAUUUGAUGGUUCUUUACUACAAGGAUAACCGUAGUAAUUCUAGAGCUAAUACUUGCACGAAGACCCGACUUCUGGAAGGGUUGCACUUAUUAGAUUUCAAGCCAUUCCUCUUUGAGGAUUCGGUGAAUCAUAGUAAUUUAGCGGAUCUCAGGCUUAUGCCGAGACGCUUCAUUCAAAUUUCUGCCCUAUCAGCUUUCGAUGGUAGUGUAUUGGACUACCAUGGCUUUAACGGGUAACGGAGAAUUAGGGUUCGAUUCCGGAGAGGGAGCCUGAGAAACGGCUACCACAUCUAAGGAAGGCAGCAGGCGCGCAAAUUACCCAAUCCUAACGCAGGGAGGUAGUGACAAGAAAUAUCAACAGCUAGCAUAUCUUAUGUGAGUUGAUUGGAAUGAGUACAAUCUAAAACACUUAACGAAUUCCAUUGGAGGGCAAGUCUGGUGCCAGCAGCCGCGGUAACUCCAGCUCCAAUAGCGUAUACUAAUGUUGUUGCAGUUAAAAAGCUCGUAGUCGGAUUUCAGAAUUAACAUUUCGCCUUUCAUGGCUGUGAUGUUUUUUCUUCUUAACGAGAAGCUAUCGUGGCCUUCACUGGUCGCGGUAGGGUAUCGUUUCUUUUACUUUGAGAAAAUUAGAGUGUUCAAAGCAGGCAUUUGCCCGAAUAUUACUCUUGGAAUAAUCGUAUAGGACUUUGGUUCUCAUUUGAUGGUUUGGAGGCCGAAGUAAUGAUUAAUAGGGACGGUUGGGGUCAUUCGUACUGCAAAGCGAGCGGUGAAAUGCUUGGACCUUUGUAUGACGACCUACUGCGAAAGCAUUUGACUAGGACGUUCCCGUUGAUCAAGAACGAAAGUUGGGGGAUCGAAGACGAUCAGAUACCGUCGUAGUCUCAACCAUAAACUAUGCCAGCUAGGGAUUGGAAGUUGCUCUAUCAUGACACUUUCAGCACCUUAUGAGAAAUCAAAGCAUUUGGGUUCCGGGGGGAGUAUGGUCGCAAGGCUGAAACUUAAAGGAAUUGACGGGAGGGCACCACCAGGAGUGGAGCCUGCGGCUUAAUUUGAUUCAACACGGGAAAACUUACCAGGUCCGGACAAAGUAAGGAUUGACAGAUUGAAAGCUCUUUCUUGAUUCUUUGG
rnacentral:rRNA from 1 species